rnacentral:rRNA from 1 species
UACGAAGGUGGCAAGCGUUGUUCGGAUUUACUGGGCGUACAGGGAGCGUAGGCGGUUGGAUAAGCCCUCCGUGAAAUCUCCAGGCUUAACCUGGAAGGUGCAGAGGGGACUGUUCAGCUAGAGGAUGGGAGAGGAGCGCGGAAUUCCCGGGUGUAGCGGUGAAAUGCGUAGAGAUCGGGAGGAAGGCCGGUGGCGAAGGCGGCGCUCUGGAACAUUUCUGACGCUGAGGCUCGAAAGCGUGGGGAGCAAACAGG